rnacentral:rRNA from 1 species
AUUGAACGCUGGCGGCAGGCCUAACACAUGCAAGUCGAACGAGUGGCGGACGGGUGAGUAAUGUCUGGGUAACUGCCCGAUGGAGGGGGAUAACUACUGGAAACGGUAGCUAAUACCGCAUACCAUCGGAUGUGCCCAGAUGGGAUUAGCUAGUAGGUGGGGUAAAGGCUCACCUAGGCGACGAUCCCUAGCUGGUCUGAGAGGAUGACCAGCCACACGGGAACUGAGACACGGCCCAGACUCCUACGGGAGGCAGCAGGGGGUAAUAUGGAACAAUGGGCGCAAGCAUGAUGCAGCCAGGCCGCGGGUAUGAAGAAGGCCUUCGGGUUGUAAAGUACUUGCAGCGGGGAGGCGUUACCCGAAGAAGAAGCACCGGCUAACUCCGUCCCAGCAGCCGCGGUAAUAC